AUGCUUAAAGAGAGAGAGCGAGAGACGGGACAAAAGGGUUAUAUUGAAAUAUGCACCAAUAAAAUUUGUGGCACAAAGCACGAAGUCAUCAUUCAAAUGCUGCAAGAGAACGGUGAUCGGCUUCAUACUCAUCCUCAUCCUCGCACCAGGAUAAUAUGUGAAUCUAACAGCCUCCAUGUCAGACACGGACUUCAGGUCACAGAGUUUAGGCUCUGUGAGUUCAAGAAAACACUUCAACAAUGCCGUAGCAAAUGGCUGUUACAUUAUCAGACCCCAAGGAGGCUUUUCUGUGUAAACCUGCUGACCCCGCGCAGGCACGACAUGCCCAUCUGACUGAAAAAAACCCCCGGAGGGCCUGGAUGUGGAGGCCCAAAUCUCGCUUUCUCUCACCUUCCUAAAACACUUCCAGUUGCUGGCUCUCCUCUCUCUGCCGUGGCUCUGACAUCGGUGUUGAAUCUCCUGACUUUGUCUUGAUUGUAUUAAAUCUGCAAAACACAAAUUAAAAUCAAUGUAAAAGAAAUACUUCAGCUUUCUGUGGCUUCUUUGUUUUCUCAGCUUACAAGGAUGAGUAAAGGCAGGUUAACGGGGACAGUGGGCCGAAAGCCAUGGGGGAAGGGCUUUUUUUCGUACAUGCUUUAGCAAUACUAUCCAUUUCACAUUUAAAUGGAGCUUCCUGCUUCAUAAUCAUCAUCUCCUUUGAGGGUAUUUAAAGAAGCAUUGUAAUACAGAACAUGUUUGGAUUUGAGAACAUGUGUCAAGACAAAUAUUUUAGAUGGUUAGAAGCAUUAUUCAACAAAAGUUGCAACCAAUUUCAACCAAGUUUAAGAUUUGAAUAAGUUUAUUUUAUUUAUUUAUUUUAAUUUUAUUAAUGAUUAACUAAAUGAAACAUUUUUACAAUAAUUUAUUUGAAUAUAUGCAGAAAGAAUAUGUAAGAAUUUGCAAUUACAAAAGAAAAUUGUCAAUUUACAAUAGUUAUCAAUAGCUUAUUUUCUAAAUGUAAUCAUGCUGAUGGACCACAUCCACAGAGGCUUUAAAAUGCAUUCAGACAUUUAAAAACUGAUGAAUGUCUUUCUGUUUUGCAAAACAUUUCACAAAAAGUUUGUUAGGUUGCUUGGACUCUUUCAUCCCUCAAUGUUCAGUAUACCUAAGCAAUUAUGAUUUUUAAGACAGCAUAUUUAUUUAAGCGAUAAUGAGGAUAAUGGGCUGUUUUGCGUUUGUGCUGACUCGAGUUUUCAAUCUUUGUUUUAGUUUAAUGUGUUCUGUUUGUUUGUGGUCAAUUCCAGGGCACUUUUGUUUUCUUUCAGCAGGGGUAAUAAACCCAUAAUGCUGUCGGCCA
ensembl:lncRNA